rnacentral:misc_RNA from 1 species
GUAACAAGGUCUCCGUUGGUGAACCAGCGGAGGGAUCAUUACAGAGUCUAGCGACUCCCAAACCACUGUUAACCUACCUAUCGUUGCCUCGGCGGGCGCGCCCCGUCUCAGGGGGCCGCAGCUGCGCCCGCCGAAGGCCUCAAAACUAUAUCUAUUUGAGUGGCACUUCUGAGCAAACUUCCAAACAAUCAAAACUUUCAACAACGGAUCUCUUGGUUCUGGCAUCGAUGAAGAACGCAGCGAAAUGCGAUAAGUAAUGUGAAUUGCAGAAUUCAGUGAAUCAUCGAAUCUUUGAACGCACAUUGCGCCCGCCGUCUCGGCGGGCAUGCCUGUCUGAGCGUCAUUUCAACCCUCAAGCCCCGCUUGGUGUUGGGGUGCUACGGGCAACCGUAGGCCCUGAAAACUAGUGGCGGACUCGCUGAAGGUCCGGGCGUAGUAGUAAUAUCUCGCCCGAGGUCCCCAGCGUGCUCUGGCCGUUAAACCCCCAAUCUUACAGAAGGUUGACCUCAGAUCAGGUAGGGAUACCCGCUGAACCUAAGCAUAUCA